GACGAACGCUGGCGGCGUGGAUUAGGCAUGCAAGUCGAACGGUAUCAUCCUUUCGGGGGUGAGAGAGUGGCGAACUGGUGAGUAACACGUAGGUUAUCUACCCUCAAGACGGGGACAACCCAGGGAAACUUGGGCUAAUACCGGAUGUGAGCAACUUUUAGUUGUUUGAAAGGUGGCGUAAGCUGUCGCUUGGGGAUGAGCCUGCGUCCUAUUAGUUAGUUGGUGAGGUAACGGCUCACCUAGGUAAUGAUAGGUAGGCGGCCUUAACGGGUGGUCGCCCACACUGGGAUUGAGAUACGGCCCAGACUCCUACGGGAGGCAGCAGUCGAGAAUAGUCUACAAUGGUCGGAAGACUGAUAGUGUGACGCCGCGUGAACGAUGAAUCCCUUCGGGGUUAAAGUUCUUUUAUAUGUGAGCAGUGCUUCUUAUAUUAACGUAUGGGGAAGAGAUAUUAGCAUAUGAAUAAGCAACGGCUAACUCCGUGCCAGCAGCCGGGUAAUACGU
rnacentral:rRNA from 1 species